rnacentral:lncRNA from 1 species
UAAAUUGGGGACAAAUUAAAUGAUGGCCCUGCCUCCUCCCUCAUCAAGGCUUAGCCAGGUGUGAGGCCAUACUGCCCUCUGAUCCUCGGCUCACCUUUUAGGCCAGUAGUAGGCAGCUGGUUCCUUCCUCUAAGGAACUCUGCUAAGAAGAAAGUUUACCUCUGCCAUGGCUCUUUGUCCUGGCAUGGAAACCUUGUCCUUGUCACUCCAUUCUAAAUGUGAGAGAAGAAAGAUUGCCUUCUAAAAGGAAUACCUGGGCUGUUUGAAAUUUGUUCUUUAGCCUCUCUAGGAUAGGUCCAGAUUUGUUUUGGGAUUAUGAACAUAGAUGUAGCCAGUAACUCCCCAACUCUUAAGACAGUUUCAUGUUCUGAGCCCUUUAAGAAUCGUCUAGGAAGUCUGAGAGCUGUUUACUAGCUCCUGAGCGGAGCCUCUCACCUCCAAUGUAUAAACAUCUACAGUAUGUAUUCUACAAACUGAGGUCCUGCACAGCACAGCAGUAUGAAAUGAUGUUGUGAUCUAUGUAUACAGAUUAAAACAAUUAACUCAAACUAAUUGGCAUACCCAUCACCUCAUUUUGUGUGUGGUGAUCUCAGCAAUUUUGAAAUAUACAAGGCACUAUUUAGAUUUUGUUUUCCUUUUUUUGGUACUGGGGCCCUAAUCUCAUACAUGCUAGGUGAGCACUACCACUGAACUACCUCCCAGUUCCUAGUAUACUAUUACUAGCUAAAGGACAAAUAUUCUUUAAGCCUGAUGAACUUUGCUACACUCACUCAGUUUAUUAACAAAUUAUAUUAGCAGCCAGGCAAAGUGGCACACUCCUAUUGUAUCAGCAACUCAGGAGGCCAAAGCAGGAAGAUCAUAAGUUAAAAGCUAGUCUCAGCAACUUAGUGAGGCCCUUAGCAAAUUAGUG